AAUUUGGAUUUUUUUCAGCCCUUCGCUUCUCAUCUUCAGGGUCAACUCUAAGUGUACCAGUAGACUUGAUCCAAUCAUAAACAGCGCUCUGAAAACCUGACAUUCUGCAUCUUAAGACAACUGAGACCUUGGGGGGAAGUGAACCUUCAACAUCUUCAACACGACGCCUGAGCAUGAAAGGCUCAAGAAUUUGGUGAAGUCGAUGGAUAACAAUGACCUUCUUCUCAGUCUCAAGCCAGUCAUCUUCGGCAUUGUGUGUCGGACCUUCUUUCUGAAAGGGCUUAGAGAACCAAUCAUGAAAUGCUUUGCGAUUAUCAAAUACUUCUGGAAGUAGUAGAUUUAGAAGUGACCACAAUUCCUUCAGAUCAUUCUGCAAUGGUGUCCCUGUGAGAAGCAAGCGCCUUUGGCAUCGAUAUCUGUCAAGAUCGCGAGCAAGAACUGACUCCCUAUCCUUCAUACGCUGUGCCUCAUCAAUUAUUAUAUACUUCCAAUCGACUUUUGAAAGUUUAGCACGAUCAUACAUGAUGAACUCGUACGUAGUGACAAGUACAUUAAACUUCAUCGCACAAACUUCCUGCGAAAAUAACUUCGAUCUUUGAUCCUUUCCACCAACAUAGAAAAUGCAGGACGCAGAUGGAAGCCAAUUGAGAAACUCACUCUUCCAAUUAACUAGAACUGCAUUUGGCACAAUUAUAAGAUGUGGUCCAUAGUUUUGUUUGAAUUCCAUCAAAUAAGCAAUUAAUGCCAUAACCUG
rnacentral:misc_RNA from 1 species